AUUGAACGCUUGCGGCAGGCCUAACACAUGCAAGUCGAGCGAGCGGCGGACGGGUGAGUAAUGUAUGGGGACUGCCCGAUAGAGGGGGAUAACUCGGGGAAACGGUAGCUAAUACCGCAUAAUAUCGACUAACCCCUAUGGGAUUAGCUAGUAGGGGAGGAAAUGGCUCACCUAGACGACGAUACCUAGCUGGUCUGAGAGGAUGAGCAGCCACACUGGGACUGAGACACGGCCCAGACUCCUACGGAGGCAGCAGUGGGGAAUAUUGCACAAUGGGCGCAAGCCUGAUGCAGCCAUGCCGCGUGUAUGAAGAAGGCCUUAGGGUUGUAAAGUACUUUCAGUCGGGAGGCGUUACCGACAGAAGAAGCACCGGCUAACUCCGUGCCAGCAGCCGCGGUAAUUC
rnacentral:rRNA from 1 species